UACGUAGGGUGCAAGCGUUAAUCGGAAUUACUGGGCGUAAAGCGUGCGCAGGCGGUUUUGUAAGUCUGAUGUGAAAGCCCUGGGCUCAACCUGGGAAUGGCAUUGGAUACUGGCGAGCUAGAGUGCGGUAGAGGGUAGUGGAAUUCCCGGUGUAGCAGUGAAAUGCGUAGAGAUCGGGAGGAACAUCUGUGGCGAAGGCGACUACCUGGACCAGCACUGACACUGAGGCACGAAAGCGUGGGGAGCAAACAGG
rnacentral:rRNA from 1 species